rnacentral:rRNA from 1 species
GACGAACGCUGGCGGCGUGCUUAACACAUGCAAGUCGAACGGAAAGGCCCUGCUUUUGUGGGGUGCUCGAGUGGCGAACGGGUGAGUAACACGUGAGUAACCUGCCCUUGACUUUGGGAUAACUUCAGGAAACUGGGGCUAAUACCGGAUAGGAGCUCCUGCUGCAUGGUGGGGGUUGGAAAGUUUCGGCGGUUGGGGAUGGACUCGCGGCUUAUCAGCUUGUUGGUGGGGUAGUGGCUUACCAAGGCUUUGACGGGUAGCCGGCCUGAGAGGGUGACCGGCGACAUUGGGACAGGAGUACGGCCCAGAGGCCGACGGGAGGCAGCAGUGGGGAAGAGUGCACACUGGGCUGAAGCCUGAUGCAGCAUCGCCGCGUGCGGGAUGACGGCCUUCGGGUUGUAAACAGCUUUCGCCUGUGACGAAGCGUGAGUGACGGUAAUGGGUAAAGAAGCACCGGCUAACUACGUG